rnacentral:lncRNA from 1 species
GACCUGACCACAUGUGGCCCUGCCGACAAGCCAGACGGGUCCACCAUCGAUUGUUGCCCACCCAUCACGACCACCAUCAUCGACUUCAAACUCCCCGACCGAGGCCCACUCCGCACAAGGAUCGCUGCCCAGGACGUUGCAAAAAACCCUGCAUACUUGGCUAAAUACAAAAAGGCCAUCGAGCUGAUGCGGGCACUUCCAGAUGACGACCCGCGCAGUCUCGUCCAACAGGCCAAAGUCCAUUGCUCCUACUGCGACGGUGGAUACCCACAAGUCGGAUAUUCAGAUUUGGAGAUCCAAGUUCACUUCUGUUGGCUAUUCUUCCCGUUCCAUCGUUGGUACCUCUACUUCUACGAGAAAAUCAUGGGCGAGCUCAUUGGGGACCCAACCUUCGCCCUCCCCUUCUGGAACUGGGACGCGCCAGCUGGCAUGUACAUUCCUGAGAUUUUCACCGAUACGUCGUCAUCCCUCUACGACCAGAACAGAAAUACAGCGCAUCAGCCCCCGAAGCUCCUGGACUUGAAUUAUGGCGGGACCGACGAUGACGUCGACGACGCGACACGAAUCAAAGAGAACCUAACAACGAUGUACCAGCAGAUGGUGUCGAAGGCCACUUCUCACAGACUAUUCUACGGAGAGCCCUAUAGCGCAGGGGACGAACCAGAUCCUGGCGCCGGAAACAUUGAGACCACUCCCCAUAACAAUAUUCACCUUUGGGUUGGCGACCCAACCCAGACAAACGGGGAGGACAUGGGGACCUUUUACUCUGCGGGGAGGGAUCCGCUGUUUUACUCUCACCAUUCCAACGUGGACCGCAUGUGGUCUAUAUAUAAAGAUAAGUUGGGAGGUACGGACAUAGAAAAUACCGACUGGCUGGACGCAGAGUUCUUAUUCUACGACGAGAAAAAGAAUCUCGUGCGCGUCAAGGUUCGGGACUCGCUCGACACUAAAAAACUCGGGUACGUGUACGACGAGAAAGUCCCAAUCCCAUGGCUGAAGUCGAAGCCGACGGCUCGUAAGUCGACGAAUAAGAGAAAGGCCACAGUUUCAUCUUCUGAUCUUACUACAACGUUCCCUGCUACAUUGUCGGAUACAAUCAGCGUCGAGGUGACAAGGCCGUCUGCGACGAAGCGGACAGCUGCCCAGAAGAAGGCACAUGACGAGGUGCUGGUGAUUAAGGGGAUUGAGUUUGCCGGGAAUGAGCCUGUGAAGUUCGACGUGUAUGUGAACGAUGACGCGGAAUCGCUGGCUGGGAAAGACAAGUCGGAGUUUGCUGGGAGUUUUGUUCACGUGCCGCAUAAGCAUAAGAAAAAUAUUAAGACGAACCUGCGACUGAGCAUUAUGAGCUUGUUGGAGGAGUUGGAUGCGGAGACAGACAGCAGUUUGGUGGUGACUUUGGUGCCGAAAGUUGGGAAGGGGCCAAUCACCAUCGGAGGGUUUAGCAUUGAGCUCAUUAAUACUACCUAAGUAUUAUUUAAUGUUAUUGUUGUUCUUCUUGUUGUUGUUGGGUUGGCUUAAUCGUGUUUUUCUAGCCAAGUAAUCUUGACUGUAAUGUGCUCAUCUACUGCUUAUGUGGCAGAUAACGGUUGGUGUUCCUCGUGAAUAAAAGCACUAUUGUGUUUCGGUGUGUUUAUUUAUUGAAUAAAGAAUUGAUGGUAGAGUUUAAUCAUAAUUUUCCAGAAUUAUUGAUGAUUGAGUUCUCAAAAAAUUAAGAGUAUGUUUGGUAUCUUAUUCAAAAAAAAAAUUUAUCAUUGUACAAAACACUUCUUAAAAACAUGUCCUAAGAACAAUUUUUGUUUAAAAGUCAAAAACUUUUUUGGUAUGAAAUUCGUAAUUGUUUUUAAAGAAAAAAAAAACUCAUCCUAUAAUGUGAACUUGUAAAUUCAAAGAGAGAAAAAAGAAGGAGGGUAGAGAGAAAAAUGGGAGAAGGAAAGAAAGGGAAGAGAAUGAAAUAGGAAACAUCCUAACCCCAUUUUUAUUUAAAAAUUGUUUUAAAGCCUUAAAUGGUGAGCCGGUGGGGCCCACCUUGUUUUACUUUUUUUGUGUUUUCCGGUCUCCCUCUCUCCUCUCUCAGUUCUCUCUCCUGUGUCUCUCUCUCGGACCUCAUCUCUCUCCCUUGCUGCAACUCCUUUUCCCUGAGCAACACACAGCCACGCCAUCUGCUGAGGACAUCACCAUCACAACCUCUGCAAUUUCCUUUCGGCGAGCACCGCCCCUUUCGAGGCCAUUUCCGGACAAACUACAGUGAGUUGGCCAGCGUGUAAGGUAUCAAUCUCUUCAUCUCGCUGAGAACUACAACUUUCCUUUUUGUUUCACUCAAUUUCGUUGAGUAUUGAAGAAGUUAUACUCAUUUGAAUCUUACCCAGUUUCCGGCGACCUCCGAGGCUUUCGAGGCAUUUUCCGGCUAAACCAUGGUGAGUUAGACGUCGUGUGAGGUACCAUUCUCUUCGUCUCUUCAAGGGCUACAACUUUCAUUUUUGAAUCACUUAAUUUUGUGGAGUUUUGACAAAGUUAUGGCCAUUUAAAAUGGGUGUGGAUUUCCGGCCGAAUUUCCGGCUUUCUCUCCCAUUGGGUCCGGCGACCCACCAAACCCAAGGCCUUUGGCCCUUCCCUGCCAAGCCCAACCCUUUUGGUUGUGAGGCCUUUGGGCUGUUAGUGCGUGUGUGUGUGUUUGUGUAGUAUGUGGGAGUGUGUGUGUGAGUGUGUGUUGUGUGUGGAUUUGGGCUUAAGCCCAAACCACCCCUUUUGUACUUAACCUAUCCAAAACCAAAACCCAAUAGGUCAUAACCCUUUUUAACCUAAGCCUAGACCCUAAUCCAGAUUCAAGCCUAAAACCCAUUUGACCUAGUUUGACCGUUGACCCCCGGUCAAUGUUGACAUUUCGGGUUUUUGUCCAGGACCCUUCUUAGGGUAAUUCGAUGUUCUGAAUCCGUUUCCAAUGUCUGUUUUUCCAAAUUCAAUUGCUAUUAUAUAGUUUGAUUUAUUGUACAUUUUUGUAUUUAGGGGCAAUUAUUAUGACUUUUCCAUCUUCGCUUGUGGCGCAGCUUUUGGCAUCUAAGUAUUGUGAGUGGACCCCUUCUAAAAUUUCAUGAUUUUAUAGUUUAAUUGCAUAAAUGAUUAGCAUGCCUACGAGUUUAUGAUUUGAUUUAUGUGAAGUUUGUUUAUUAAAUAUAUUGAUUUUCGUCUCGUGUUUUUUGUGAGGAAUCAAUUGUUGGCCCAUAUUGAGCUAUAUUUUGAUAUAUCGUGUUUUUAUAAAAACCAUGAACUGGUAGACUAUCUGAUGGAUGACGAUAGGAUGCUAGAACAUAUUUUCAAAACCCCUAUUUAUAGUAUAGACGAUGGCUGACUUUAUACUAUGAAGUGGUUAUUUUUUAGAGGCAUAACUAUUUGUGCGUACCUAGUGGACACUAUGCCGCAUGGGGCGAGGAUCUGGUGUUGGCAGUUAGGCCAGGAGAAAUAAUCCCUAGCUACGGGCUAAGGGACAUGGAGCAGGCAUUGGGCCGGGAGUUGGUAAUCUCUGGCUACGGGAGCAGAGACCACGGAGCAGGCAUUGGGCCGGGAGUUAUAUUUGUUCAGUGAUCUUUCUAGCAGUACACCGCGCUUACGAGACGAUCUAUGAAACGUUUACUGUUUUGAUUUCCGCGAUAUGACUUUUGAGAUAUUUUUGGCAUGCUAAGAUUUUUAUUAAAUCCUUCACUUACUAUGCUAGUAGUUUUCACUAUUAAACUUUGGGGAUUAGUAUGUUGAUAACUGUUUUAUUAUUAUUGUAUAUAUGAACUUGGUCCCCUCACCUUUGUUUUGCGUCCCCAUUCAGGACUUAGGAUCAAGGCACCUAAUCCCGACGUCAAGACACUUCCGCAGCAGCAUCUUUGAAUCCUCUCGAUGUAUGACCCAUUUCUUUAUUCAUUCAAUUUUAUCUUAAUUCUUUUUAGUGAUUAGGUUUAGUUGUAUGCUCUGAACACGUUCCUAAAUUAUUAAUUCAUUGUAUUUUAAAUUCAUAACCCUUAUUUAUUUCUUAUUCUUAGCUUUUGUAUCAAUUAAUGGCUUUCGUCACCCUUGGGUGUCGGCCAUCACGUAUCUAUCCUGGUAUUUGGGGAAUAUCAGGGUCGGGGCAUGUCAGAAAGGAGAGUGGAUCAGAAGAGAGAGAGAGAGAGAGAGAAAUAUGAGAUGAUCGAAGGAGUAAGAAAAUUGGAGGAGUGAGAGCAAUGAUAGAGAUAAAAGAUAAGGGAUUAGGUGCGAGAGAAAAGGGAAGAGAGAAAUAGUGAUCUUUAAAAUUAAAAACUCUAAAAACACACUUUUGGUGUUUUUAUGACAUAGGCUAAUUCUUAAGUUAGUUUUGAGUCUAGUUUUUGAAAAGGUUCAUGUCAAACAAGUUUUUAACACUUAAAACUUGAAAACUGAUUUUGAGUUUAAAAAGUUGGAUUCAAAUUGAAUACCAAACAUGCCCCAACGAAUUCUAAUUGUGUAAAAUUGUUUAUAAAACUAGUACACUACGUUGCUAUUAUUGUUGACUAGCAGAGAGCACACAUUUUGUGAAUGUGAACAAUUUCUCUUAAUAAGUGUAUAUUUUAUUAAUAUUACAUAAUUACUGAUUUGUCCUCUUUAUGUAAAUAUUAUGUAUCAAAAGAGAGGGUAAAAUUGAAAAAAUAAGUAUAAAAAGAGGGUAAAAUAGGAAAAAUAGGGAUAUGGUUGUCAUUUUGUCAAAGGGUACAAAAUUACUAUUGUAUUAGCUAGUGACCACCAAGAUUAUGAGAGUGGAUCCCAAGGAUCUUCCAAUCACAUCCAUUCAUCUUGCAUCGUGGGAUCAAUUUUCGUCAGGUACUGUUCAUAUUCAAUUUUAAAUAAAAAAAUUUACAAUAAUUUCUGACCGCACAAUAUAUGAUGAACGAAUAUGAUUUGAGAAUUUUCAAGAUCUUUACAAAGAGAAUCCGACAAGGAUCCUUUCUCUUUUUUUCCCCCCAAAAUUCAUUCCAACCCAUGACCUAAAAUUAACCUAAAACCUAAAACUGAUAUGCGGGUCAAAUACCGGCCCAAUUUUAGACCACAAAACAAAAUGGGCCCCACCAACUGAGAUUGAAACCGGGGCUAUGAAACCCACUGCCCAAAUCGAACUCGCCUACGCGCUGAACGCGCUAGGCAUUUGUUGUGGGGUGACAAACCCACGUGGGGUUGUUCCUCCGGGUGUCAGACCAAUAAGUAGCCCAACGACUACUUUUCUUCAUCCAAUAGCCCAAUUUAAAUGGGUCGUUGGUUAAUCCAAUGGUCCAGGUUCAAAUUAUUUUUUUUUAGUUUUAUAUUGAUAUAUUUGUUGAAUCCAACGACUUAGAUCGAAUAUAAUCAAAUCUAACAGUAAAAAAAAGAUCUAAUGGUCCAAAUUUAAAUCCAAUGGCUAAAAUAAUUUAAAAAAAAUUAUUUAACUUAAAAUUCAACCAAAAACUUUAUAAAUACUUAUGUAUUUGUUUAAACAUCCACACAAAACUCACUUUUCUCCUACAAUUCUUCCAAUUUUUCUUUCUACCAUUUCUUCUCAUUUCCAAAUUUUUCAAGAUGGCAAAAGAGUAUGUUAGAGGUCAUAAUUGGACCUUUGACGAAGAUAUUGCUUUAUGUUUGGCAUGAAUUUCUGUUAGCGAAAAUGGUGUCGUCGGCACAAAUCAAAAUAGAAACGUUUUGUGGGGUAAAAACGUUGAUAAGUUCCAUGAAAACUCCAAUGCCGGUCGAAGGGAAGUUGGUGGUGUUUAUGAUUGGUGGAAGAUUAUCAACAAAGCAUGCACUUUGUGGAAGGGAAGCUUGGAGAGAGCCACGGUUGACAUGCCUAGUGGAAUGGGUGCCUCAGAAAUUGUGAGUUUCUUUGUUGAUAUUUUAGUUGUCAUGUACAUAAUAGUAUUUAGCAACUAAUUGUUUUUAUGUAUUUGUUGCAUAGGGUGACAAAGCAAUGGCAAUUUACAAGAAGAACUACACCAAAAAAUCAAGCUUUUAAGUUGCAUCAUGCUUGGAACAUCCUUAAGGAUUGUCCGAGGUGGCGAACCGAUGCGAACCAACAAUGUGGAAGAUUAUUUCAUAGUGAAGCCCCACCCCCAAAUGAUGUCAAUGAAGGUGUGAAUUUUGCCAACAAUGAAGGUGUCGAACAAAUGACCCUAACUUCUUCUUUUGUAAGGCCACCGGGUAGAGAUAAGCAAAAAGAAGCAAAGAGAAAAGGGAAGUCCCAAGAUGCAAUAUGUGCACAAUUUGCUAGCGAAAUUGCAAGAAUGAACAAAAAUUAUAUCUCUCGGCAAGAAGAAUCAGCCCAAAUGUGUUUGGCCAUGAAGGAAGAAGGGGAUAGGGAGCAAGAAAGGUUCGAAAUUAAUUUGAUGAUGGAGGACCUCGACAAACACACUCCAGAGAGGAAGAAAUACUUACAUGGUAAGCAAAAGGACAUUUUAUGAAGGAAUGACACAAGGAGUAUAUUUCAAGAUGAUGAUUUCAUCUCAAGACUAUCACCCAAGUCCAUCACCAAGUCAAAAUGGUGGAUAUCAUUAUUAAGUAUAUGUAGUUUAUGAGUUUUCGAUUGUGUUAAGUUUAUGUGGUUUAUUAAUUGUUUUUUUUUUUGAAGUUUAUGUGGUUUAUUAAUGGUCGUUUGUAUUAAGUUUAUGUGGUUCAUCAUGAUUUUCAUGUAUUGAUUUAGUGAUUUUUCAAAAUUUAUUGGAAUUUAAAUAUUUUUAGGUUAAAAUGUUCAUAAAAUUAAUUUAGGAUGGUCUACAUAAUUUUUUUUAAAAUAGUUAAUUUAAAAAAAAAUUAGCCUGAAUUCAUUCUUUGAUAAUCUCGGGCUAAAAUUUUAGGCCAAAAUGGUUGGAGCAGAAAAGCUGUUUUUUGGCUAAAACCUAAAUUUUCUAGGCUAAAUAUUUUUAGGUUUUAGGUCAGGGUUAGAGAUGAUCUUAGCUUCUAUGUUGUUGGCGUCUAGUGUAGAAUAAUUAAAAAUGUGAAUCUAAAAAAAACUUUUUUUCGAAGUCUUAACCUCAAUCUUCUAUUCUUAAAAGUUUAAGAUCACUAUAAUUAGUCUAGAAAAAUUCUAAGGAGAUUCUCUUAAAAGUAGAACUCUUUAUGUCUGUCACUUUAUGUUUUUUGCACAGUGUUUUAAAGUGUUCUUACAAGAAUUGACGUUAAACAAUAAGCAAAGUCGCGAAGAGUCCUACUUUUAAAAAAGUCACUUAGCAUUUCUCUCUGUCACUUUAUGUUUUUUGCACAGUGUUUUAAAAUGUUCUUACAAGAAUUGAUGUUAAACAAUAAGCAAAAUCGCUGAAAGUCCCACUUUUAAAAAAAUCACUUAGAAUUUCCCUUUAUACAAACAUGACUACAUGAGUUAAUUAAUAAUUAAUUUAAUUUCAUGUUUUUCUUAACUAAUAAUUAUUUAACCCAAACAUAUGAUUCUAGGGAGUUUUAACAAAACACUCCCAGUACUGUUCAUUUUUAAUGAAAAACCACAUUUUUACCUUUAACUGGCACUAUUCACUAUACCUUUAAAAAUGACUUUUCGUUAAAAGAGAAGUUUUUUGGAUUUUUCGUUAGUUUUCCUAUGAUUCUAUCCCUUGAAAAAAAAAUCAUAUUUUAUUUGAUGAAUGAGCAAAUGUAUAGUCAAUAGUGUGUUCUGAUGUGACCAGUACGUUAUAUUCAUACAAUAUGCAAUAUAUAGUCAACAUUGAAUAGCUAUAUCGCUUGUCCUUGCUUGGUAAAUCAAGGAUAAAUGAUCGAAACCAGAUCCCCUCUAGAGCAUGAGGACCGGAGCCUGCUGAGCAACCCAUCCGGAUUCUUGAAAUUUGAUCUAAUAGUUACAACUUGCAAUUAUUAUAAUUUUUAGAGGAACCCUCUACUUGUAGCUGUUGAAUCAAAUUUCAAAGACCCGAAUCCGAAUAGGUUGCUCAGCAUGCUCCGGUCCCCAUGCUCAGGAGGGGGUCCGGUUCCUAAAUGAUCAUAGGUUUUUUCAGCUUAUACCUAUAAACCGUGUCUGAUAAUUACAUAAAGCUACGAAGGGCAUUUGUGGAGAAAUUUUUAAUUGUAACAAGAACACAAGUGGUACACCACGUAUUUUAAUUGAAGUCUUUGUUAGACGAAGUCAACCGUUGGUGGUAACCAACACUUCUUGAAGAGUCGUGCUGUGCUUAGGAGUCUUAUCUCCUUGUUUAUAGGACUUCCUUUUUAAAUUAUUCUUCUAACUGAAACUGGUUGUUAUCUUUGUAGAUUUAGCCCCAGUUUGGGGUUGAGGUGAUUUUAAAAAAAGCUCCUAUGAAAAAAAGCUGGGAGUGUUUUUGGUGUUUGGUAAACUUAAAAAAAAGGGCUUAUUUUGGAAGCUGCUGUGAGAAUAAGCUGAAAUCAAAGGAAAAAGCUGAAGCUGCAAUUUGUAGCUUUGGAAAACUGGUUUUUUUCAAAGCACAUAUAACUACAGUGCUCCUUUAAUGAAAAGCUCCACUAUCAGACUGUUUUUUUUUUCCAAAAGCACUUUUACAAAAAAGCUUACCAAACACUCUGCUGAUUUAUUUCACAGCCGCUUAUUCUCACAGCACAGCCGCUUAUUCUCACAGCAGCUUUUUUUCAAAGCACAGCAAUACCAAACCAGUAUCUUUUGAAUUUUGAACUUUUGUGUAAGUAGGGUUAAUUCAAACCCUGAUCGUAAUCUGUAAGUGGUUAUAAGUACAUGCAUCCCACACAUUCAAGGAUAUGCAAUUGAAGUGAAAUCUCUGUGUUAUUAAGUUUUACAUGGUAUUGAGCCUUACUGUCUAACGACAACGAUCCAUAUUUGUUUUUCCUCGCUUCCAAUGGCUGAAAACAAUGGUGCUUCUUCUCAACCAUUCAAUCCCGUUUCCCCAAACAAUCCCACCUAUCCCUUUUCCUCCAUGACGUGGUAAACAUUAAGCUAGACAAGACCAACUACCCACUGUGGUUGGCCCAAAUCUUUCUUAUUCUCAAGAGUCGAGAUUUAAUGGGGUAUGUUGAUGGCACUCUGGUGUGUCCCUCGAAGCACAUGCCUGGUGUGGCAACUGUUAAUCCUGCCUAUACCUUCUGGAUGCAGCAGGAUUAAAUGAUCAUAAGUUGGAUCAAUGGCUCACUUACUGCAUCAGUUUUGUCUGUUGUGGCUAGCAAGCGAAGUGCUAGAGCAACCUGGGAAGCGCUCGAGCAGCGGUAUGCUUCUUUUUCACAAAAUAGGAUUUUAUUUUUGAGGAAUGAAUUGUUGCAGACAAAGAAUAGUGAUCUUUUGGUAGCCGACUAUUUGGAUCGCAUGAAUGUGAUUGUUGACAACCUUGCCCUAGCUGGGCAACCUGUGAGUGACGAUGAAUUAGUACAGAUUGUGUUGAACAAUCUUGGACCAGCUUUCGAGAUGACAGUCAGUGUUGCUCAAGCUUAUGAUACACCUAUCACGUAUCUGACUCUUGAGGUGUUAUUGUUAACCAUUGAAAGAAGAAUGUUGGAGCAUGCUGCUCCUAUGGUGGAACAAGCUUCUGUUACGGCCUUUGUUGCUGCAAGAAGACGAGGUGAAGGUCGUGGUGUUGGGCGCAGUGCUUCUCCUUUCAAUCGUGGUGGAACGUCGAAUCAACGAGGAUUCAACCCUCGUAAUAACAACAAUCAACGCUAUGCUUCUGGAAAUGGGGAACGAUGUGCUUCUACUGGUGAGCAUAUUAUCUGCCAGAUAUGGCAAACCUGGUCAUCCAGCUCUGGAUUGCUAUCAACGAAUAAACGCUGCUUUUGAAGGCCGCAUUCUUACCAAGCGUCUCUCUGCCAUGGUAUCGUUUCCUACUACUCUCAAUAAACAAAAAAAUGGCAAUUGGUUACUGGACAUAGGAGCCAAUGCGCACAUCACUCCGAAUCUGCAAAACCUGGUAAACCCGAAGAAGUAUAAUGGUAAUGAUAGUGUUGGUGGUGCAGGUAAAGACUUUGGUAUUUUGAUUGCACAUUAUGGUUCUAAUAAAAUUAAUAUUGAUGCUUGCUCAUUUAAUUUACAAGACAUCCUACACUGCCCUAAAGCCUCAACUAGCAUCAUUUCUGCCCACAAGUUUACAUUAGACAAUGACUGCUAUUUAUUAAUCUUCCCACAUUUUUUCCUUGUAAAGGACCUCAAGACCCGGAUGACGCUUUUUCAAGGGAGAUAUGAGAACGGCUUAUACCCGUUUUCAGGUGGCGGUUGACAACUUCCAAAUCAAGUUAAAGUCUUUGUAGGGGUUCGAGUUUCUGUUCAAAAAUUGCACGUCUUGGUCAUCCUGCCAGUUCAACAAUAAAGUUUUUAAUUGCAAAUAAAUUGGUUCCAGUUCAUGGUACCUCCAAUGUCACCUUUUGUCAGUCUUGUCCAUUAGGAAAGAGCACCAAGUUGCCUUUCAAAGUGUCAGUGUCUGUUUCCAAUUGUCUUUUGCAGCUUCUACAUUCUGAUGUUUGGUGUUCUCCAAUUAUUUCCAAUGAAGGUUUUCGUUAUUAUGUCCUGCUUGUUGAUGAUUACUCAAGAUAUUCUUGGAUUUUUCCCAUGAAAAAUAAAUCUCAAGUCUUUGAAAUAUUUAUCUAGUUUAAGGCCAAAGUUGAAAAUAUGUUCAAUUUAAAAAUUAAAGCCAUUCAAUGUGAUGAAGGUGGUGAAUACAAAAGAAUUGCCUUUCAAAAGUUUUUAGCACUUCAUGGGAUUUCUCAAAGAUUUUCGUACCCUAAACAUCCAGAACAAAAUGGACUUGCGGAGCGUAAAAACCGACACAUUGUUGAAACUAGUAUUGUGAUGCUUUCUCAGUCAUACAUACCUACUAAGUUUUGGUUUGAUGCUUGUUGUACGACAACAUAUUUGAUAAAUAGGUUACCAACCUGUUUGUUGUCUAACAAAUCACCUUAUGAGAAGUUAUUUCAUAAACCACCAAACUAUGAUAUCCUAAAAAUUUUUGGUUGUCAAUGUUUUCCGUGGUUGAUGCCUUAUACACAAAAUAAACUUCAACAAAAAUGCAAAUCAUGUGUUUUCUUACGUUAUUCAUUGACUUAUCAAGGCUAUAAAUGUAUGAAUUUGUCCACGAAACGAGUUUAUUUGUCUCGCCAUGUCCUGUUCAAUAAGGACUUUUAUCCUUUUCAAGGACUCACAUCUUUUUCUGAAAGCGUUCAAACACAUGGUACUUCUUCUUAACCAGAUCUCUUAUUUAAUUUUCCUUUACACACAUCUCCUUCUUUGACCACGAUACCUACUCCCAUACAAACACUCACUAUCCUUCCACCAUAAAUUUCAACCACAUCUGCCAUCCCACAUCGAAUAGUGACCCAACCUAAUCCUACAUCUUCACCUAGUCAAACUGACACCCCACAUGUAACCCAACCUAAUUCUUCACCUUCACCUAUUCAAACCGACAACACCCAUAUGACCUCACCUCAUCCUACUCCUUCACCAAUUCAACCUGACAACACCCAUGUGACUUUACAGCCUAGUAUUGUACGUUCAUCUCCAGUGUUGAAUGAGCAAGCUACAGUAAUUCAAGACCUCAUGCCAAUGCCUUACGUGGCUCCUAUUGAACCACCACACUCUAUGACCACACAUUCCAAGUCCGGAAUACACAAACCAAACCCUAAGUAUGCUAUGCAUGUGGCUAUUAAUGAUGUUCCUGUUGAGCCUACUUGUUUUACUCAGGCAGUUAAAUAUCCAGAAUGGAGACAUGCUAUGAUCCAAUAGUUUAAUGCCUUGAAGUAUUGUGGAACAUGGAGCUUGGUUCCAUACCGGCCAAACAUGAAUCUUUUGCCCAACAAGUGGGUGUUCAAAAUAAGGAGGAAUGUCGAUGGUACCAUUGAAAGACAUAAAGCACAUUUGGUUGCAAAUGGUUUCCAUCAACAACCUGGUGUGGAAUACACCGAGACCUUCAGUCCUGUUCUUAAACACAGUACCAUAAGACUUGUUCUAAGUUUUGCAGUAUCGAAAAAUUAGCAUGUUCGACAGCUUGAUGUGCAGAAUGCAUUUCUGCAUGGAUAUUUAAGUGAAGAAGUAUACAUGAGACAGCCUGCAGGGUUUGUUGACAAGCAGUUUCCUCACUAUGUUUGCAAACUGCAACGUUCCAUUUACGAGUUAAAGCAAGCUCCUAGGGCUUGGUUUCAACAUUUUUCAGAAUUUUUGCUUCAACUUGGCUUUCAAGAAUUAACAUGUGAUUACAGUCUCUUUGUAUUUAAUCAGAAAGGUGUGUAUCUCAUCUUAUUAAUCUAUGUCGAUGAUAUUCUACUGACUGGGAAUAGUAUUACCAAGCUACGAACCUUGUUUUCCAUGAAAGAUUUAGGACCAUUCCACUAUUUUUUGGGUGUUGAACUGAAGUAUUUUGGGAAUUGCAUGCAUCUCAGUCAAUCCAAGUAUGCUUUGGAUCUUCUCACACGCAUAAAGUUCAUUGAAGCUAAAGCCUAUAUCAACUCCAGUUUCCUGUGGCCAUAAGCUAAAUGCGUAUGAUGGUGAGGCAUAUGAAAAUCCAACACACUAUCAUAGUGUUAUUGGAGCAUUGUAGUACAUUACUAUUACUCAUCCUGAUUUAUCCAACUCGGUUAAUCAAGUAUGCCAGUUUAUGCAUGCACCCAAACUUGCUCACUAGAAGGCUGUCAAACGUAUUAUUCGUUACUUGAAAGCCACACAUACUCAUGGACUUCUCUACAAACCUGGAAAUGCUAGGCUGUUUGCGUUUUCUGAUGCUGAUUAUGCUGGUAAUCCAGAUACCAGACAUUCCACAGGUGGCUACUGCAUUUAUUUGGGUCCCAAUCUUGUUUCCUGGAGUUCAAAGAAACAGAAGAUAGUGUCUAGGUCUAUUGCAGAGGCUGAGUACAGACAGUUGACUUAUACUGCAGCUGAGUUAUCGUGGCUUCGAUCUUUUUUUAAGGAUAUACAUUUGCAUCUUUGUCAACCAACGAUUUGGUGUGACAAUGUUUCUUCCAUUGCACUUGCCUCCAAUCCUGUUUUCCAUUCGCGCACAAGACAUCUUGAGGUUGAUUAUCAUUAUGUUCGGGAAAAGGUUGUUCGUGCUGAAUUAAUAGUCAAUUACAUUUGUUCUUAAGAUCAGCUAGCUGAUCUGUUUACCAAAGGACUGUCAUCGUCACGCUUCAAGUUACUGGUAUCCAAGCUUCCUGUUCUUCCACCCCCAGUCAGCUUGCGGGGGGCUGUUUAGGCCUGGCAAUUCCUGACACGACACGACACGAAAUUAACAGGUGUUUGGGUUGACACGAUAACGAAACGGGUCGUUAUCGGGUAACCCGAUAAGCACCUGUUAAGAUAACGGGUUGGUUCGGGUAUACACGUGGGUAACACGAUACACGAUAAGCAGAAUAUUAAUUUAAUAAUUUUAUAACCCUAAAAAAAUACUAUAAUAAUUAUAUAUAUUAAUUUAACAAUUUUAUACCCUAUAAACUAUAAUAAUUAUAUAUAUAUAUAUUAAAUUAACUAUAAUAAUUAUAAUAAUUAUAUAUACUAUAAUAAUUAUACCCCCAAAAUAUUAACUAUAAUAGUUAUAUUUAUAUAUAUAUAUAUAUAUAUAUAUAUUAAAUUUUAAAUUAAAUUUUAUACCCCUAAAAACUAUAAUAAUUAUACAUACAAAAUAAAUAGAUUUAAAUCUACUUAAUAAAUAAAUAAAAUAUAUGUACACACACACACACCAUUGAACUUCAUGGGAUACGAAUUAUAAGAAACUAAUUUCAACGAUCAAACCGUCAAACUUGUUUGUAUAUGCUUCGAGAUCGCAUCAGCAAAAAAUUACAAAAAAAAAACAUUCACAUAUCAAGUAACGGGACAAAACCUUUCGACGGUUAUAAAUGAAAAAUCACGAUUUAACGGUUAUUUUAACUCCGAUUUUGAUGAUUUUUUACAGCUACACUCCUUUACCCUAUGUGAAUACAAUGAAUGAAUUCGAUCUUCAAUUUAAAAUAUUUACACUAGGGGAUACCAUAAAAUCUUAUGUUAUACUUGAUGAAAGUAUGAAUAAACUCUUAAGUGUUAGUGAAUCUAUUGUUUUGAUGGGAUACGCAUUCUACGAAACUAAUUUCAACGAUCCAACCGUCAAACAUGUUUGUAUAUACUUCGAGAUCGCAUACACCAAAAAUUGCAAAAAACAAACAUUCAGAGAUCAAGUAACGAGACAAAACCUUUCAACGGUUAUAAACGAAAAAUCACGAUUUAACGGUUAUUUUAACUCCAAUUUUGAUAAUUUUUUACAGCUACACUCCUUGACCCUGUAUGAAUACAAUGAAUGAAUUCAAUCUUCAAUUUAAAAUAUUUACACUAGUGGAUACCACAAAUCUUAUGUUAUACUUAAUGAAAAUAUGAAUAAACUCUCAAGUGUUAGUGAAUUUAUUGUUUUGAUGAGAUACGCAUUUUGUGAAACUAGUUUCAACGAUCCAACCGUCAAACUUGUUUGUAUAUGCUUCGAGAUCGUAUACGCCAAAAAUUGAAAAAAACAAACAUUCAGAGAUCAAGUAACGGGACAAAACUUUUCGACGGUUAUAAACGAAAAAUCACGAUUUAACGGUUAUUUUAACUCCGAUUUUGAUGAUUUUUUACAUCUACACUCCUUGACCCUAUAUGAAUACAAUGAAUGAAUUCGAUCUUCAAUUUAAAAUAUUUACACUAGGGGAUACCACAAAAUCUUAUGUUAUACUUGAUGAAAGUAUGAAUAAACUCUUAAGUGUUAGUGAAUCUAUUGUUUUGAUGAGAUACGCAUUCUACGAAACUAGUUUCAAUGAUCCAACCGUCAAACAUGUUUGUAUAUACUUUGAGAUCGCAUACGCCAAAAAUUGAAAAAAACAAACAUUCAGAGAUCAGGUAACAGGACAAAACUUUUCGACGGUUAUAAACGAAAAAUCAUGAUUUAACGAUUAUUUUAACUCCGAUUUUGAUAAUUUUUUUCAGCUACACUCCUUGACCCAAUAUGAAUACAAUGAAUGAAUUCGAUCUUCAAUUUAAAAUAUUUACACUAGUGGAUACCACAAAAUCUUAUGUUAUGCUUAAUGAAAAUAUUAAUAAACUCUCAAGUGUUAGUGAAUAUAUUGUUUUGAUGAGAUACGCAUUUUGUGAAACUAGUUUCAACGAUCCAACCGUCAAACUUGUUUGUAUAUGCUUCGAGAUCGCAUAUGCCAAAAAUUGCAAAAAACAAACAUUCAGAGAUCAAGUAACGGGACAAAACGUUUCGACGGUUAUAAAUGAAAAAUCACGAUUUAACGGUUAUUUUAACUCCGAUUUUGAUAAUUUUUUACAGCUACACUCCUUGGCCCUAUAUAAAUACAAUGAAUGAAUUCGAUCUUCAAUUUAAAAUAUUUACACUAGUGGAUACCACAAAAUCUUACUUGAUGAAGUAUGAAUAAAAUCUUUAAGUGUUAGUGAAUCUAUUGUUUUGAUAGGAUACACAUUCUACGAAACUAGUUUCAACGAUCCAACCGUCAAACAUGUUUGCAUAUACUUCGAGAUUUCAUAUGCCAAAAAUUGAAAAAAACAAACAUUCAGAGAUCAAGUAACGAGACAAAACAUUUCGACGGUUAUAAACGAAAAAUCACGAUUUAACGGUUAUUUUAACUCCGAUUUUGAUGAUUUUUUACAGCUACACUCCUUGACCCUAUAUGAAUACAAUGAAUGAAUUUGAUCUUCAAUUUAAAAUAUUUACACUAGUGGAUACCACAAAAUCUUAUGUUAUACUUAAUGAAAGUAAGAAUAAACUCUUAAGUGUUAGUGAAUCUAUUGUUUUGAUGAGAUACGCAUUCUAUGAAACUAGUUUCAACGAUCUAAUCGUCAUACUUGUUUGUAUAUGCUUCGAGAUCGCAUACGCCAAAAAUUGCAAAAAACAAACAUUUAAAGAUUAAGUAAAGGGAUAAAACUUUUCGACGGUUAUAAACGAAAAAUCACAAUUUAACGGUUAUUUUAACUCCGAUUUUGAUGAUUUUUUACAACUACACUCCUUGACCCUAUAUGAAUACAAUGAAUGAAUUCGAUCUUCAAUUUAAAAUAUUUACACUAGUGGAUACCAUAAAAUCUUAUAUUAUACUUAAUGAAAGUACGAAUAAACACUCUAAUGGGUCACUUUCAUUAAGCUUUUAGUUCCAUUGGCAAGGUUUAAACUUUUGAGAAAGAUUUCACAACCUUGAAAACAAAAAUGCUUUCAUUUUGCAUAUCCUUGCACAUUUAAUAUUUGUAAUAGAUUAGUAGUGUAUGAAUGUAUUUUUUAUGAGGCUCUUAUUUUUUAGUGUAGAUGUAAUACUUAAACGACAAAUGUGUUUUAAUGUUUUGAAGUAAUAUUUAUGUAACAAUGUGUGGCAUGUGCAAAUUUAAGAAAAAAAAAUAUUUUUCUUAACGGGUCAUAACGGGUCGGGUCAUUUUACCCGUUGGGUAAAGUGACCUGACCUGUUAAGGACCCGUUAAGAUAACAGGUGUGACACGACACAACCCGUUAAGAUAACAGAUGUUACACAAAAACGACACGAACACGACUGACACGACUCGUUUGCCAGGCCUAGGGCUGUUAGACAAAGUCAACCGUUGGUGGUAACCAAUACUUCUUGAAGAGUCGUGUUGUGCUUAGAGUCUUAUCUCCUUGUUUAUAGGACUUCCUUUUGAAUUAUUCUUCUAACUGAAACUGGUUGUAAUCUUUGUAGAUUCAGUUUGUAUCUUUUGAAUUUUGAACUUCCGUGUAAAUAGGGUUAAGUCAAACCCUGAUUGUAAUCUGUAAGUGGUUAUAAAUGCAUGCAUCCCACACAUUCAAGGAUAUGCAACUGAAGUGAAAUCUUUGUGUUCUUAAGUUUUACAGUCUUGAGAAAUUUUUUUUUAAGUUAUUAAAAAUUUUAGCAUACAUAUCCCAUCAUUUGUAUAAUAACACGUGAUAUACUAUCUCAUAUAUUGAUUACACUAAAAAAAUCUCUCGGCAUUUGUGGCAAUGACAACCAUGGGCUAUCGCCAUUUACUGUAAGGAGUCCUUCGAGGUGUCGGGCUCCAACCCAUUAAACAGGGAACACACACUUUCAUGAUUCCAUCUUUUCAUGGAUACUGGUAAAAGCUUUUGUAAAUUGUGACCAUGAAUAUGCAUGCAGUUUCUCAAACUAUCCACGUAGAGAUGUGAUUUCAUAACCUACAGUUGCGGGUUUACUAUUCAUUAUCUUCCACACAUAUGUUUGAUUGGGCAAAAACUUCGGAAAAAGAUCAUCGACGGAUUCUUUUUUCUGGAGAUUUUAAGGAUUCUGUGAUCAAGAUCCAUUGUAAAUCUUGUAGUAAAAAAUUAUUUUACAAUUAAAAAUUAAAUGUAAACAGUACUUAACAAAAAAUAAUCACACGAUAUAUAAUUAAAUGAUCGUGAUCAUAAAAUCCCUAGAAUCUUAGAAAAAAUAAAAAUAUAAUGCGAGAGAAUCCUACUUCAGAAAGAUCCUUUUCCAAAAGCUUCCUUCUCUUGGACAAGACUGAGGCCAAGGUCAAAUGUUAUUGAUUGAGAUGCGAAAAGAUAACCUCCAUUUUUCCAAAAAAAUUUAAAGGUAAUUUUGAUUACUUAAUUAAAGGUGAAAAGGCAAAAGGAGCUAAUUGUACGAGGACAUGUGUGGAUUGUAUAUCAAUCAACAAACAACAUUUCAUUUUACUUUUUUUACAAUCGAAAUUUGUCAUCAGUCGAUGAGAUUCUUGCUUCCAUGGAAGCAACGAAGAAGAAAGAGGAAAAACUCUCCAAUUUUAUUAUAGUUUUUAGAUAACUAGUAAUACCCUAUGUGCUUUUGGAAUAUUGUUAUUGUAUAUUACUCUUUGAGCAGAAAGAGUUUCAUUUAGCAUUUUUUUCAUGUGUCCGUUUUAUGUGCGGUAGUUAUUGAUGUUUGCGCUUUUGGAUCCGAUCAAUCUUAUAAAUUUAUAACAAAAAUUAAAUUGCAGUGUUUGUAUGACACUUAAAUUAGGUCUUCUUAGGUUUCACUAGGAGAGAGUUUGCACGAUGUUCGUGUACGGCGAUUGGUGUCAAGUUACCUUGAUCUUGUGUUUGUAGUUCUACGGGCAUAGGUAAGUGGUUGUUUGGUCCAACUAAUCCACUUUGUUGGAUACAUUUUCAGCUGAUGGUUCAGGCUGGUUUCACAGCAUGUGGAAGUCAUGGUUGCAUGCUUUGUCAUAGGGUUGACGCUCACUACACAGCAAUGGUUGAAUACUAACAAGUUUGUGGGCGGAAGAUCCCCCUGAUUUGCUUAGGGAUAUUUUGUAAUUUGCUUAUGUAUUGACAUUUGAGGUGCGUCCUUUCGUCGUGCAGGACACUCUUUUUUCUUUGACCGAGUUGAAAGCUUCGGCAAAGUUUUAUUGAGGCCCACUGUGCACACUAUCCUCAGUUUGUUCUCAAACUGUACUUGUUCUAUGUUGUUUGAAAUGAAUAUCGAAUAUCUUCUUUCUGUCAACAAAAAAAAAAAAGAAAAAUUAGUUUGGACUUCUUGUGUUAGAACUAAUGUUUUUAACAUGGUGUAUAAACUUAAAUAUCCCAUAUAUUUUUUUCAUCUACUGUAUAAAAAACGAAAAAUACAUAUGUUAAUCACUUAUACAAUACAACCAAAUGAGAAUAAGAAAAUUUCAUAAUUUGAACAAAUUAUGGGAGAGUCCAUAUGCGCAUGAUUUCUGACUUAGUAAUGUAGGGCAUAGUUGGCCGGCAGCAAAAAUUUAAUAGCUUAGCAUAAGCAAAAAUUAUAAUAAAAGGAUAACUGGAAUCGCUCCAGGGGUCUCUCACCCGUCAUUGACCUUUCACCAAGAAUUUUGGCAUCUAUCCCAUCUCAGGGCUAGAAUUUUAAUCUCUGGAAGGCAUAGCUUUUCUAUUAAACUCUUCAUUAUUUGUUAAUCUGAAUUACAAGCGAAUUUUAUAAAGCCUAAAACCUAAUGACCGCAUGAAGGUAAACUUAUUAUAGUAAAGAAAUCAUAAUCCAAAAUAGAAUGGGACACUAUAUCUAAUCCUAUUCAAACUGGAAAGAAUUAUAGAGCUCGUUGAAAGUACUUUUAAAAUGACUGAAAGUGCUUUUGAUAAAAAUGAUUUUGGAACCAAUGCUUAGUAAAAAUGCAAGUAAAUUCUGAAGAAAAAAAAAACAUUUAAAUUGUUUUAUGAAAUAAGCAUAUAAUUGGUGGUUCUUAUAGUAAGCACUUUAAGUGCUUUUGAAACCAAAAAAUAUUUUAUUUAAAAGCGUUUUUAAUCAUUUUAAAAAUAUUUUAAAAUCAACGUAACUAACCCCCUAGAUAUUAAACUACUAAGGACUAAAGAUUAAAAAGGCUAAAUACCCUUUAAAUAAGGAAGUCACCACUCGUGUUCCACGUGGCUUAGCUAUUACUAAUUUACUAUCACCAAUAAUUGAUGAAAGAUAAUAUCAAAAUAGAGGCAUAGAGUCAGCUAAUCUUUUAUUUUUUUGGUGAACAGAGUCAGCUAAUCUGGAACCUCUCUUUUUCAUGUAAAGUUCCUUAUCGACGAAGAAAAAUGUGCUAUAUAUUAUUUAUUCGUGUGUUUCAAAAGUGAAUAGUCUCUUUAGUAAGGUGGUGACCUUAAAUAAACUUGAGGUGCAAUUGUAAAAUUAAUUGGUAAAUAAUGAGUAGUUCACUUCUUUAUAAGGAAAAUUAAUGAAAAGGGUUUUUGAAAACUUUGAAUUUUAAAGAUAAGGACAUAAUAAAGGGUAAAAUGAAAAGUACAAGGUUUGACUUUUUAGUGUAAAAAUGUGGUUUUUCGUUAAAGUGAACAGUACCGCGGGUUUUUCAUUAAAACUUCAUUCUUUAUAAGCUCUUGUAUGAUUUGAUUUCUCAUCGAUGUGAGAUUUUGUCUUUACAUUCUCACACUCUUCUCGCACUUGAUGAAUUUUAAAACCUAACACGUAGACAAUACAAAUUUGGUGACGUGGAACAAGUGUGGUCAUUGGACUUCAAAUGUGGACUAAUAUGGAGAGUAGUCUAACUCUUCAUAAGCUGUUUCAUGAUUUGGUUAAUCACUGAUGUGGGACUUUGUCCUCAUAUUCUCACACGCUCCCUUAUGUGGUGAAUAUUCAGGCUUAACAUAUGAACAUAAAUUGAAUGACAUGGGGUAGGUGUGGCCAUCAAACUUCAUACAUGGACCAACCUGCUUUAAUACGAUGAAAACAAUUAAGGUUCCACCAUAAAACUAAUUGACAAUAUAAAAAGUAAUCAAACUGUUUAUAAGCUCUUGCAUGAUUUAGUCUCUCGCUACGUGAAACUUUUUCAUCGUAUCCUGACAAAUCUUGCUCAUAAUUAAUUUGAUAGUUGCGGUUCUGACGAACGGUGGGUUUUAGUAGGGGUGGGUUCUUCGUUGCUCCUUCACAGGGCGCAUCAGGUUCUGUUUCCAUGUGCAUAAUAAGUUGCUGCCAUGACAAACACUCAAUCUUUUCAACUUCAUACUCUUCAGAGCAUCACCGAGAAUGAGAACAAGAUAAAGUUGUUAUUUGGCAGGGUAGGCUAAAAUUGGUCUCAUGAUAUGUACAUAGUAUAUUUUGUAAAAAUGUGGAGUGUUGGUCCAUAUCGUAAGGUUAAUAAACUUUGUUAAUUUGUUACAUAGUGCAUAAAAUCUCAAUUUUCUUUAAAGUAUCAAAGUCGGUUGAAUCACAUGUUUAAUUCUUCUAUCGCAGUAUGAGAGUUAAUUGAACUACAUGUUUGUUUUGAAUGUCACUGAACAUGAGAGAGUCUGUGAGUAUGUAAAGGGUUGAUCCACAUCAAAAAGUUAAGAAACUGUUGUGAUUUUAGGUUGUCCUGGAAGAUGCGUUUCACCAUUUGAUGUAGCUCGUAUGGGAAGCCAAACUUUUUCUUCUUUUGCUAACUUUUUUUUUUUUUUUUUGUUGAAGAACAAGGAAAUUCAUUCCAGGCUAAGAAGCCAAGAAGCUACAGGAAAGCCUACAAAGAGGCAAACACCAAGAAAGACAGACCAGGACAAAAGCUGUGAAAGGGAAUGCAACCUCAAGGGUCAAGACACUUGCACCAAGUGAAAGCAUCACCCCAAACAUCAUCACAGCUAAAUUAAUACGGACACGGAAGAUCAUCAUUGUUCAAAACAUAAAUCAACAAAAACAGGGCUGAUCGACUCAAACAGAUUCAUUCAUCUCUGAAAAAUCAACCGACGCAAGCACAUGCGCUGUCCCAUUGGCCGAGACCAGGGACAGUUCUGGAAAACCACCCCCCCCCCCCCCCCCUAUUUUAGGGAUUCUCCUUCUCUUAGAGCAACUCCACCCAUGGAGCCCUGUCCCCUGGCAAUCCACUAUUCAAUCCACCCUAUUGAACAAUAACUGCCUUAAAUGAAUAGUAAUUACCAUUAAUGAACAGUAAUUGCCAUUUACAUCUCCACCCUUAGAACCCUCCCCUGGCAAUAAGCAAUAAAAAUAAUAGUUUUUUAUGUUUGUUUAAAUAAUAAAAAAAUUACAAAAGCUAUCUCUCUCUCUCUAACACAAAAAAAAUAAAAAAAUACAAAACCCUCGGGCCACAGGCCCGUCGACUCCCCACCCCCCCUUCGCUCGACCUCCCACCCUCACUCGGGCCCUUCCCCGCUGGAUUUGCUCCCACCGGCCCGAGGGCCCUUUCUCCUCGCCUGACGCCCGAGCAACCAGCAAGGCUGGAGUUGCUCUUAUUCAGGUUGACAUCGGAGUCGGCAUCCCUUAAUGAUGUUAACAUCGGAGUGGUUGCCCUUCUCUUAAUGAUGUUCGGAGUGAUGUUGACAUCGGAGUGGUUGCCCUUCGCUGAAUGAUUUGACAUCGGAGUGGUUGCCCUUGUCUUAAUGAUUGUUGACAUCGGAGUGGUAUGGAAUCUUUGACUAAGAAAACCCCAGCAAACGUUGCCGGGUCCAACUCCACCAACCGACAGACAAAUAAAAGUGAUGGUGGGACUUGUGGAUGAGAAUAGUUUGUCACAUACCAAUUAAUUGAGUGAGUAAGAUAAAUUACAUUUAAUUAAUUAGUUAUUUGCCACAAUAACACAAAGUUUGUUGGCUGAUUUUUAAUUGAUAAUUACAUGUAAUUAAUUAGUUGUUUGCCACCACCCGAUAACACUCAUACUCUCCCACUAUUUCGAUUGAUAAAAGUAAUUCGUGGAUUGUUUUGUGGUCCCCGUGACAGUACCUAGUAAUAUAUAUCCUUCGGAUAAGAAUCUUUUUAUUUAUUUAUUUUUUAUGAGAAAUCUUAAAAUUCUUACAUUGUGAUCGUUCAUUAUACAUCAUACAAUUAGUUUUCGUUAGAUCUUAUUUGUGUUUAAUUUUAAACAAAAUAAUUUAUAAUUGCACGAUAUACAAUAAAUAGUUAAGAUGUGAGAAUUUCUAAAAUUCCCACACUUUGAAUGCGAUGGAAUCCAAAUCCAUAUCUUUCAUCCACGUGAGAACCAGCUGGUCUGCAUAUGACUUGGACCAAAUACUUAAUUUACAGUUCCUAGCUAGUUAUUAUUUGGCAAAUAAUUUCUUUUCGUAUGAUUCUUCCUCAUUUGACCUCAACCUCUUAAACUUGUAAAUCUCCCACGAGUCCCGACAUAGUUGUGCCCUACUUUUAAGCGCGGUUAAAUUAUUUUUCAACCCAUUAGAAUUUCAGGUCAUGGCAAUUAUUUUAAGGAAAACUAAUGAAAAUGGCUUGAAAACUUUGAAUUUUAAUGAUAAGGACAAAAUAAAGGGUAAAGUGAAUAGUACCAGGAUUGACUUUUUAAUGUAAAAAUGUGGUUUUUCGUUAAAAUGAACAGUACCGGGAGCUUUUCGUUAAAGUUUCCAUUAUUUUAUUGUUUGAAUGUAGGAAAAGUUGAAAUAUGACAAUCUGGUAAAGUAAUAUAAAUAUUAUAGUUUUCCGAGAUAUGUGUGCAUACAAAGUUACAACCACACAUCACGUGUUUGAUUAUUUCAGUUUACUAUAUGAUCGUAAUUUGUUUUUAAUUAAUAUAGUAAAAAUUGAAAUUACACAAUAAAAUUAAUUGGGAAUUUUAAGUCUAAACUUGGACAACGAAGCACGCAACUAUUCAGGUUCACACAUGCCUAAAAAUAUCUUUAAUAUCAAGAAGAAAAUUAAAAUUUAACCAUAAAAUUAAUUCACAAUAUAAAAUGUAGCUGAACUUUUUAUAUAGAAGCGCAUACAAUAUUUUUUUCCCGUUAAGAUUCUCUCCUAGCAUCAUAUUACUGUAUGUAUUUAGGAUAGGUUAAACAAAAGUAAAAGGAUACUCGAUGGACUAUGACCUUUUAUAUAAAAUGCAGGGCAUAUAUUUUAUGCAUAAGGUUCGAAAACUGUUGACCUUGUUAACAAUGAAAGUCUCUUUUCCUUAAUUGAUGGAUCUCGCAGAUUGAUACACUUUUGUUGUGUGAUUAUUAACGUAUUAGCUGAUCAAUUGAUGCAUGUGGUCCUUCGUUACAAUCAAUGAUGCUUGUUUAAAAUAAUAUUAGGCUGGCACAACUUUGUAAUACUACUUGAUUUAUUAUAUUAUUAUUUUGAUUUCACACGAUGAUUUGUUAUCCAGAGCGUUAGAGGCAAGACAUAGUACCUUAGAGUUUAGGAUUGUUUAAUUUAAUUUUAAUAUGAGGUGAUAAUAAAUCACUCACCCACUAACAUAUGGUUUUAGGAUGAUAAAUCCUAACAGCAGCAAAAGGAAUGUAGACCGUCGACUUAAUCCAUAUGUACCCCUCUGCUUGCUAUUUUGUUUGUUGUCUAUUUCUCUCUCCCUUUUUUGGAAGGGAAUUUUGCUGUUCCCAUGAAAUGGUAUUACCAAUGGAGGCAGAUUGACUGCCCUCCUGGUUGUGGUGUCCUUCCAUGCCUUUUUAUUUGUACUGUCACGAUAAAGUUACGUUAAUAUUUUAUAUUUUUAUUGUUUUUUGUCUUAUUAUCUUUAUUAAAAAAUUAAUAUAAAAUGUUGACGUAGCUUAACCGUGACCGUAAAAAAUAAGAGGGCAUGGAAGGGCACCACAACUAGGAGAAAAAAGCGUGAGCCGUUAUUAAACAUUAUAAAGUUGAUGAUUAUCAAUGGCGGAUGCAUACUCUCUUCGAAUUCCUAAAAAGCACACGCAAUGUCAAUUUUAUUUUUAGGAAAAUUAACGAAAAGUAAAAAAAAAUUAUCUUUUAACGAAAAAUCAUUUUUAAUGGUAUAAUAAAUAGUAACAGUUAAAGAUAAAAAUGUGAUUUUUCAUUAAAAGUAAAUAGUAUCAAGAGUAUUUUAUUAAAAUUCCUUCUUUUUUUUUCAAUUUAAAUAAGACAUUUUAUUGAGCACUUGACCAGCUGCCAAUAUUUCGUGUUAUUUUAAUUAUAUAUUUAAGAUCAAUAUUUUGAUUCCUGCUCAGACCAAUUUUUUUAGACCAAAACUUGAGGAGGCACGUGCCCACUUUGAUCCUUGCCAAGAUUUGACCCUCAUCACUGGCAGGGCCGCUUCAGAUCGAUGGCCAAAUAAAAAAAGAAGGCAGAUUCUCUGCCCUCUCAUUUCUUGUGUCAUUCUGUGCCUUUUUGUUUAUAUGAUCACAGUUAAGUCACGUUAAUAUUUUAUAUUAUUAUUUAUUUUUAUCUUAUUAUAUAUAUAAAAAAUAAUAUAAAAUAAUGACGUUACUUAACCGUAACUAUACAAAACAGAAGAAUAUAGAAAAUGAAAGGGCAGAGAAUCUGCCUUCAAUAAAAAUACAAGUAGAUAAGCCAUCUGAAAAAAUAAUUGUACGUACAUAAAUAAAUAAAUAUAUACAUACACACACAUAGCACACAAGUAACUCCAAAUCCUUGAUAUAUUUCGGAUCAAAACUCACCAAACGUCCCACGAGCAUACCUCACCAAACGUCGCUCACCCCUAGCAUUAACCAAAGCAACGAAGGAAAAACAACAAGGUUAGGAGAGGAAGGAUCACAUCACUAAUCACGCUCUUGUUAAGAUGUAGGGUAGACUUCUUAAAAUAAUAAUACCGACAUUUGAACCACAUACAAGUGCAAGUUUCUUACCUAAGUGAGGGUGAUGCUCAGUCUCCUAUUUUAAAGUAAGAGUGAAGCUCAACCUUAUUAAUUAUUGUUAAAUUAGUUUAAAUUUUAAAAUUCAUAUUUUAAAUCAAUUAAACUAAACUAAUUUAACGGUAAGUAAGAGUGAACAUCACCCCAUUUUAGAGAUGAACAAAGUUGCACUCAUGUUUUAAUUAGCAGCCAAGCUGGGGUCCACAACUUUAAACGUAUGGUUUGUAGAUGUGACACAUAAACAUCGUUUCUCCAGUACAAAAUUGUCACCUUUCGCAAGAGAUAUGAUUUAUGUAAUAUCCAAUUAUUAACAUGAAGUUCCAAUAUAUUCAUUUCGUAAAUGUGAUAAAGAAAAUAAGAGGUAAUAUUUUUUUCCGAAUUCGGACGUUGAAUCCUUUUUAUGAGGAUUUUAAAGAACUGUGAAUUAUAUUCGUUCAUUGUAUAUCAUAUAAUCAUAAAUUAUUUUAAAUACAAAUAGUACCUGACAAAAACUGACCGCACGAUAUACGAUGAACGAAAAUGAUUUACGAUUCAGAAUUCUCAUCAAAAGAAUCUAGGGUCAUGUAGGUUUUUUUCCUUGGUCAAAAAAAAAUAUAACAUUAUAAUAUUUAAUUGUUAAACGUGUUUCUCCCACCCAAUUAUUCAAGCAUCAUAUUUCUUGGAAUUAUCUCUCUCUCUCUCUCUCUCUCUCUCUCUCUCUCUCUCUCUCUCAUUCAUUUUUAUGCGUACUCAAUGAGUGGUAAUGGAGUAGGUGCUCCAAUAUUAAUUAUGCAUACACAUUUUUAGUGUGCGGUCCCUCUGGUUUCCACUAUAAAAACAUCAUACUCCCCUUUCCUUCUGAAUUGCAGAGUGGAAAGGAAAACUAAUUCAGCCAUGGCUUCAUCUCCUUUACCAUCAACUUCUACAAUGGCCGCCGUGCACUCCACCACAACCACCCCCUUCCGCUCUCCUUUAUUCCCAAACAAGUACCAGACUUCAUUGCAACGAAAACCCAAACAAUGCCUUGCAGGCAGAGUGCGCUGUAAAGCAACAAAAGGUGACAAUGAAAACCUAGACCAGGGCCUAGCAAGACUCGACAGGAGGAACAUGCUGAUAGGUUUAGGCGCUGGGGGUCUCUACGGUGCAGCAGGAAACCCAUUUGCUUUUGCAGCACCGGUAUCCGCCCCAGAUCUGACCACGUGUGGUCCUGCCGACAAGCCAGACGGGUCCACCAUCGAUUGUUGCCCACCCACCACGACGACCAUCAUCGACUUCAAACUCCCUGACCGAGGCCCACUCCGCACUAGGCUCGCUGCCCAGGACGUUGCAAAAAACCCUGCAUACUUGGCCAAAUACAAAAAGGCCAUCGAGCUGAUGCGGGCACUUCCAGACGACGACCCGCGCAGUUUCGCCCAACAGGCCAAAGUCCACUGCUCUUACUGCGAUGGUGGAUACCCACAAGUCGGAUACUCGGAUUUGGAGAUCCAAGUUCACUACUGUUGGCUCUUCUUCCCGUUCCAUCGUUGGUACCUCUACUUCUACGAGAAAAUCAUGGGGGAGCUCAUUGGGGACCCAACCUUCGCCCUCCCCUUCUGGAACUGGGACGCACCAGCUGGAAUGUACAUUCCUGAGAUUUUCACUGAUACGUCGUCAUCCCUCUACGACCAGUAUAGAAAUGCAGCGCAUCAGCCCCCGAAGCUCUUAGACUUUAAUUACAGCGGGACCGACGAUAACGUCGACGACGCAACACGAAUCAAAGAGAACUUAACAACAAUGUACCAGCAGAUGGUGUCAAAGGCCACUUCUCACAGACUCUUUUUUGGAGAGCCCUACAGCGCAGGGGACGACCCAAGUCCUGGUGCCGGAAACAUUGAGAGCAUUCCCCAUAACAAUAUUCACUUUUGGACUGGCGACCCAACCCAGACAAAUGGGGAGGACAUGGGGGCCUUUUACUCUUCGGGGAGGGAUCCGCUGUUUUACUCCCACCAUUCCAACGUCGACCGCAUGUGGUCUAUAUAUAAAGAUAAGUUGGGAGGUACGGACAUAGAAAAGACUGACUGGUUGGACACGGAGUUUUUGUUCUACGACGAGAAAAAGAAUCUUGUGCGCGUCAAGGUUUGUGACUCGCUCGACACGAAAAAACUCGGGUACGUGUACGAUGAGAAAGUCCCGAUCCCGUGGCUGAAAUCGAAGCCGACAACUCGUAAGUCGACGAAUAAGAGAAAGGCCGCAGUUUCAUCUUCUGAUCUUACUACAACGUUCCCUGCUACACUGUCGGAUACAAUCAGCGUCGAGGUGACGAGGCCAUCUGCGACGAAGCGGACAACUGCCCAGAAGAAGGCGCAGGACGAGGUGCUGGUGAUUAAGGGGAUUGAGUUUGCCGGGAAUGAGACUGUGAAGUUCGACGUGUAUGUGAACGAUGACGCGGACUCACUGGCCGGGAAAGACAAGUCGGAGUUUGCUGGGAGUUUUGUUCACGUGCCGCAUAAGCAUAAGAAAAAUAUUAAGACGAACCUGCGGCUGAGCAUUACAAGCUUGUUGGAGGAGUUGGAUGCGGAGACAGACAGCAGUUUAGUGGUGACUUUGGUGCCAAAAGUUGGGAAGGGGCCAAUCACCAUCGGAGGGUUUAGCAUUGAGCUCAUUAAUACUACCUAAGUAUUAUUUAAUGUUAUUGUUGUCCUUGUUGGGUUGGCUUAUUCGUGUUUUUCUAGCCAAGUAAUCUUGAAUGUAAUGUGCUCAUCUACUACUUAUGUGGCAAAUGACGGUUGGUGUUCCUCGUGAAUAAAAGCACUAUGUGUUUCGGUGUGUUUAUUUAUUGAAUAAAGAAUUGAUGGUAGAUAGAGUUUAAUCAUAAUUUUCUAGAAUUAUUGAUGGUAGAGUUCUCAAAAAAUUAAGAGCAUGUUUGGUAUCUCAUUCAAAAAAAUUCAUCAUUGUACAAAACAUUUCUUAAAAAUAUGUCUUAAGAAUAAUUUUCUUUAACAUUCAAAAACUUAUUUAGUAUGAAAUUCACAAUUGUUUUUAAAAGAAAAAAAAAACUCAUCCUAUAGAUUGUUAACUUUUUCUUUUAAUUUGAGGGAUUCUCCUUCUCUUAAUGAUGUUGACAUGGGAGUGAUAUGGUUCGUGAAUUUUGACUAAGAAAACCCCUGCAUUCAUGAGUCAUGAUUCAUGACAAACGUUGUUGGGUCCAACUCCUCCAACCGACGUACAAAUAAAUGUGAUAGUGUGACUUGUGGAUGGGAAAGGGGGAUUACGUAUCACACGAGAAUAGUUUGUCACAUACCAAUAAAUUGAGUAAGUGAGACAAAUUACACGUAAUUAAUUAGUUAUUUGCCACAAUAACACAAAGGUUGUUGGCUGAUUUUUAAUUGAUAAUUACAUGUAAUUAAUUAGUUGUUUGCCACCACCCAAUAACGCUCAAACUCUCCCACUAUUUCGAUUGAUAAAAGUAAUUCGUGGAUUAUUUUGUGGUCUCCGUGAUAGAACCUAGUAAUAUAUAUCCUUCGGAUGAGGAUUUUAUCCGGAUUCUAUCUUAGAAUCUCCACAUUAUGAUUGUUUAUUGUAUAUUAUACGGUCAGUUUUCGUUAAAUACUAUUUGUUUUUAAUUUUAAAUAAAAUAAUUUCUAACCGCACGAUUUACGAUAAACAGUUAAGAUACGAAGAUUCCUACUAUUCUCACAAUUUGAAUCUGGAAUCCAAAUCCAUAUCUUUCAUUUCAUCCAUGUGACAACCAGCUGGUCUGCAUAUGACUUGGAUCAAAUACUUAAUUUACAGUUGCUUGCUAGUUAUUAUUUGGUAAAUCAUUUCUUUUCGUAUGUUUCUUCCUCAUUUGACCUCAACCUCUUAAGACUUGUAAAUCUCCCACGAGUCCAGACAUAGUUGUGCCCUACUUUUAAGCGCGGUUUAAUUAUUUUUCAACCCACUAGAAUUUCAGGUCAUGGCAAUCAUUUUAUUGUUUGAAUGUAGGAAAAGUUGAAUUAUGACAAUCUGGUAAAGUAAUGUAAGUAUUUUAGUUUACCGAGAUUUGUGUGCAUACAAAUACACACAUCACGUGCUUGAUUAUUCUUGUUUACUAUAUGAUCGUAAUUUGUUUUUAAUUAAUAUAGUAAAAAUUGAAAUUACACAAUAAAAUUAAAGAAAAACUAAUAAAAAGAGUUUGAAAACUUUAAGUUUUAACAAUAAGGAUAAAAUAAAGAAUAAAGUGAAUAGUAGUAGGAUUAACUUUUUAAUGUAAAAAUGUGGUUUUUCGUUAAAGUAAAUAGUAGCGGAAACUUUUCGUUAAAGUUCUCUAAAAUUAAUUAGAAAUUUUAAGUCUAAAACUUGGACAACGAAGCACGCAACUAUUCGACUUCACACAUGCCUAAACAUAUCUUUAAUAUUACAAAGAAAAUUAAAAUUUAAUUAUAAAAUUAAUUGACAAUAUAAAAUAUAGCUAAACUUCUUAUAUAUAAGGGUACUAGAUGGACUAUGACCUUAUUAUAUAAAAUGCAGGAUAUUAUUUUAUGCAUAGGGUUCGAAAACUGUUGACCUUGUUAACAAUGAAAGUCUCUUUUCUUUAAUUGAUAGAUCUCGCAGAUCGAUACGCUUUUGUUGUGUGAUUAUUAAUGUAUUAGCUGAUCAAUUGAUGCAUGUGGUCUUUCGUUACAAUCAAUGAUGCUUGCUUAUAAUAAUAUUAGGAUGGUGCAACUUUGUAAAACUACUUGAUUUAUUAUAUUACUAUUUUGAUUUCACAAGAUGAUUUGUUAUCUGAGCGUUAAAGGUAGGACAUAGUACCUUAGAGUUUAGGGUUGUUUAAUUUAAUUUUAAUAUGAGGUGACAAUAAAUCACUUACCCACUAACAUAUGAUUUUAUGAUGAUAAAUCCUAAUUAGCAGCAAAAGGAAUCAAGACCGUCGAUUUAAUCCAUAUGUACCCCUUCUACUUGCUCUUUUGUUUGUUGUCUAUUUCUCUCUCCCUUUAUUUUAAGGGAAUUUUGCAGUUCCCGCAAAAUGAUAUUAUCAUUUUACUCCAAUUAUAGAACGUGUAUCUGUUUAAUAUUCGGUUGUAUCUAGAACCCUGUCACGUUGUCCAACCAUAGUAACACAUUGAAUAUUAUAUGACAAAUAUUUUAUAUACACAAAUAUGUCUCCUUAUUUGUUUCUUCCCAAAGAAUUUCUUACGCACGAUGUUGUAGCUUGUAUUUGUUUACCACUAGGGGUAGGGGCAAAGAUAGAAAGUUAUUUAAUGGGGACACAACUGAGCAAUGGUGGAUACAGACCCUCUUGGAAUUCCAAAAAGAGCACACACAAUGCCAAUAUUUUUUCAAUUUAAGUAAGGCAUUUUGUUGAGCACUUGGCCAGCUGCCCAUAUACCUAUUUGUGUACUUAGUGUUCAUCGUCACCCUUUGUGUUAUUUUAAUUGUAUUUUUAAGAUCAAUAUUUUUAUGGUGAAAAAUAGAUAAAUUGUAUAGGUAUAGGGUUAGUAGGUCAAAUUCAUUAGAUGUAUAGAAGGAAGAAAUUUUUCUUCGUGAGCUGUCAUAAAUAACUCUACAACUAAACAUUUUUAUGUUAUACAUAUCUGCCUGAAUGAGAAGCGAGUGAUAGAGUUAGACCUAGUUUGGGAGUGAGGUGCUUAAAAAAAAACACCCAUGAAAAAAAGCUGUGAGGGUUUUAGGUGUUUGGUAAACUGAAAAAAAAGGCUUAUUUUGGAAGCUGCUGUGAGAAUAAGCUGAAAUCAAAGGAAAAAGAUGAAGCUGUUAUUUGCAGCUUUGGAAAAUUGGUUUUUUUUCAAAGCACACGGAGCUACAGGGCUUCUUUAAUGAAAAGACCCACUAUUAGACUGCUUUUUUUUCCAAAAACCCUUUUACAAAAAAGUUUACCAAACACUCUGCUGAUUUAUUUCACAGCCGCUUAUUCUCACAGCAGCUUUUUUUCAAAGCACAACAAUACCAAACCAGCCCUUAGUAGUUGCUGUCGUGUAUUGAUUAUUAUUUAUUGUAGUCCAAUUUGAGCGGCGGGAGGUGAAUAUAAUUAAGCAGACUUUUGAUUCUUGCUCAGACAAUUUUUUAAGACCAAAACUUGAGGAGGCACGUGCCCACUUUGAUCCUUGCCAAGAUUUGCCCUGAUCACUGGCCAGGGCUGCUUCAGAAUCCGAACGGUGGCCAAAUAAAAAGACAAGUAGAUAAGCCAUCUGAAAAAAUAAUUGUACGUACAUAAAUAAAUAUAUAUAUACACACACACUUACAAGUAACUCCAAAUCCUUGAUAUAUUUCGGAUCAAAACCCACCAAACCUCCCACGAGCAUACCUCACCAAACGUCACUCACCCCUAGCAUUAACCAAAGCAACGAAGGAAAAACAACAAGGUUAGGAGAGGAAGGAUCACAUCACUAAUUACGCUCUUGUUAAGAUGUAUGGUAUACUUCUUAAAAUAAUAAUACUGACGUUUGAACCACAUACAAGUGUAACUUUAUUACCUCUUGCAAAGUUGCACUCAUGUUUUAAUUACCAGCCAAGCUGGGAUCCACAGCUCUUUAAUCAUAUGGUUUGUAAACGUCACAGAUAAACAUUGUUUGUCUAGUACAAAAUUGCCACCUCUCUCAAAAGAUAUGAUCUAUGCAAUAUCCAAUUAUUAAUGUGAAGUUCCAAUAUUUUUUUUUAUUUUUAAAAAGGAACAACCGGUGGUAAAGUACGACUAUCCAUCUUUUUUUGAAGUCAGGAAUACUCAUAGAGGCAUUUCAGCUUCCUUAGGCCUACAAGUUUGACUUUCACUCCAGCAACGGAUUUCGAAUUUGAGACCUUCAGCUUUUAGUUUUAAAAAAAUUUCAUAAUCCUCUAUUUACAACUGAAUCACUAUCUCGUAGUUAAGUUCUAAUAUAUUUAAUUCGUAAAUAUGAUAAAGAAAGUAAGAGGUAAUAUUUCUUCCUCGGUCGAAAGAAAAUAUAACAUUAUAAUAUUUAAUUGUCAAACGUGUUUGGUGCUGGAGUAGGUGCGCUGCAUAUUCUAGGUUUUGGAGAUAAAAGAACAGAAAACAUGACCUCAUCGACAGCGAAAAGAUUAACGAAUCCUACACUCUGCACUCAUGCAUGUUCACUACCUUUUUUCUUACUUUUGUGAAAGAAGUAUUUUUCUUUUUUAACUUUUGAAAUUAAAUAAUGAUAUAAAUUUGCAGGUAAAAUUUUAUAAACUAAAUAAUAGGGAAAUUUGAAAAAAUAAUCAAAAUUUGAACUUCAUAUAGAACUAUAGCCACUCUUUUAAAUUUAUGAUAAUUAUAACAAAAAAUUGAUAUGUAAAUACUAAUAUACCUUUAAAAUAGAAAUUGAGAGAUAAGGAGAGUUUGAAAACAAAUCCAAAAAACCCAAAUCAAAUAUGAGAUUAUCCCAAUGUCUUACUGAGUUCUUUUUUUUUGGUUCCAAAGAAAAAAAAUAGACUGUGUUAAUAAAAGGAUUUUCUCGUUUUGAUUUGUGUGUGAUAAGAAAAUUUUAUUUAUUGUCGUUCAAAAAUGAUCUUUUGUUGGAUCCACUCCCGAAGAGCAUGGUCUGGGAAGCCAUGAACACUCAUGGCUAAGAUCACUUGGAGAUCAUGUCAAUAUAUAUAUUUACUGCCCCACACCACACACAUUGAUUCGUUUACAUUAGCAAUUUUUGUUUUUUACAAGUUUGGGGCAUCUAGCAAGCAUGAAAAAAAAGAUCAUUACCUAUUAGCUGCUUUUUGUCCAUUGCAAAUUUUGUAUCAGCUUUCAUUUGGCAUUUCUCUUCUGUAUUAUCUGAUUUCGAUAUGUCAUUUGUCUCUGAACUUGUAGUAGAAAGGGGAUUUAAUUGUCAAUUUUUUGUGUUUUUAUUUUGAUACAAAAUUAUAAAGGUGUAUCAAAGGGUAUAUUAGUACUUUUAUAUCAAUUUUGGGUUAUAAUUAUCAUAAACCUAAAAUGGUGGCUAUAAUUCUAUAUGGGAUCCAAAAUUUGGUUACUUUUCCAAAUAGAAGUUGAUGAUGGGUAAUCACUUAAGCGACGUGCUAAUUUUUAUUAGUGACAAAUUAUUUAGUUUGCAAAUUUUAUUUAUAUAUUUAAUCUCUUUAGCAUUACACUUUGAAAUUCUUGGGAGACUAAAUUUGAAGAUAAAAUUUGUAAACUAAUGAUUGAAUUAUUACUUAAGCGUUGAUAAACAUACUCAUUUACUAUUGAUAACAUAUCAUUUAGUUUGCAAAUUUAAUAUCUCUAACAUUACUUCACCAUUAAUUAUGCAUACGCACAUUUUUAGUGUGCCGUCCCACCAGUUUCCACUAUAAAAACAUUGCAAUCCCAUUUCCUUCUUAAUUGCAAAGUGGAAAGGAAAACCAAUUCAACCACGGCUUCAUCUCCCUUACCACCAACUUCUACAAUGGCCGCCCUGCCAUCCACCAUAACCACCAUCUUCCGCUCUCCUUUAUUCCUAAACAAGUCCUAGACUUCACUGCAACGAAAACCCAAACAAUCCCUUGCGAGCAGAGUGCGCUGCAAAGCAACAAAAGGUGACAAUGAUAACCUAGACUAGGGCCUAGCAAGACUCGACAGGAGGAACAUGCUAAUAGGUUUAAGCAUCGGGGGUUUCUACGGUGUGGCAUGAAACCCAUUUGCUUUUGCCACACCAGUAUCUGCCUCAGACCUGACCAUGUGUGGCCCUGCCGACAAGCCAGACGGGUCCACCAUCGAUUGUUGCCCACCUACCACCACGACCAUCAUCGACUUCGAACUCACUGACUCAGGCCCACUUUGCACUAGGCCCGCUGCCCAGGACGUUGCAAAUGACCCUGAAUACUUGGCCAAAUACAAAAAGGCCGUCGAGCUAAUGCGGGCACUUCCAGACGACGACCCGUGCAGUCACGCCCAACAGGCCAUGGUACACUGCUCCUACUAUGACGGUGGAUACCCACAAGUCGGAUAUUUGGAUUUGGAGAUCCAAGUUCACUAUUGUUGGCUCUUCUUCCCGUUCCAUCGUAAGUACCUCUACUUCUACGAGAAAAUCAUGGGCGAGCUCAUUGGGGACCCAACGUUCGCCAUCCCCUUCUAGAACUGGG